AUACGUAGGGUGCGAGCGUUGUCCGGAAUUACUGGGCGUAAAGAGCUCGUAGGUGGUUUGUCGCGUCGUCUGUGAAAUUCCGGGGCUUAACUCCGGGCGUGCAGGCGAUACGGGCAUAACUUGAGUACUGUAGGGGAGACUGGAAUUCCUGGUGUAGCGGUGAAAUGCGCAGAUAUCAGGAGGAACACCGGUGGCGAAGGCGGGUCUAGGGGCAGUAACUGACGCUGAGGAGCGAAAGCAUGGGUAGCGAACAGGAUUAGAUACCCUGGUAGUCCAUGCCGUAAACGGUGGGCGCUAGGUGUAGGGGUCUUCCACGACUUCUGUGCCGUAGCUAACGCAUUAAGCGCCCCGCCUGGGGAGUACGGCCGCAAGGCUAAAACUCAAAUGAAUUGACGGGG
rnacentral:rRNA from 1 species